rnacentral:rRNA from 1 species
CCCUUAGAUGUCCUGGGCCGCACGCGUGCUACACUGACGCCUACAGCGAGUACUUCCCAGCCCCGAGAGGCGGCUGGUAAUCAGCAAUAGGCGUCGUGAUGGGGAUAGAUCUUUGGAAUUAUGGAUCUUGAACGAGGAAUGCCUAGUAAGCGCAGGUCAUUAGCCUGCGCUGAUUACGUCCCUGCCCUUUGUACACACCGCCCGUCGCUACUACCGAUUUCGAGUGGUCCGGUGAAGCUUUUGGACUGCGCGUGGCUUUGUGCCGUGUCGCGGAAAGUCAGCUAAACCUUAUCACUUAGAGGAAGUAAAAGUCGUANCA